rnacentral:pre_miRNA from 1 species
UACCUGAAGAGAGGUUUCCUGGGUUUCUGUUUCUUUAAUGAGGAUGAAACACACCUGGUUAACCUCUUUUCCAGUAUC